rnacentral:rRNA from 1 species
CUGGCAGACUGCUUCAGUAAUUAUUCAUUCUAUUUCGAGGGCAGCCGAAGGGAGGCUGGCUACAUUUCAAGAGAAAGGCGACGAGUGAGUUAUUUCUUGUGAUACUGCCUCGUGGAGGAGGGAUACUACUGGUAACGGUAGCUUAUAGCGCAUGCCUCGACAGAGCAAAGUGGCGGAUCCUUCGGCCUCACGCCAUCGGAUCUGCCACCUGCGGAUUAGCUAGUAGGUGAGGGAAUGGCUUACCUAGGCGACGAUCCCUAGCUGGUCUGAGAGGAUGUCCAGCCACACUGGAACUGAACACCGUCCAGACUAUACUGGAACCAGCAGUGGGGAUAUGCACUAUAGAAUAAGCGUGAUGCAUCCCUACCCCCCUGUGUAUAAGGACAUAGGCUUGUAAUUCUCAAUCACUUUGAACGAGGAGGAAGGCAUCAUACUUUAUGGGUGUGGUGAUUGACGUUACUCGCAGAAGAAGCACCGGCUAUCUCCGUACCAGCAGUCGCGGUAAUACGGAGGGUGCAAGCGUUAAUCGGAAUUACUGGGCGUAAAGCGCACGCAGGCGGUUUGUUAAGUCAGAUGUGAAAUCCCCGCGCUUAACGUGGGAACUGCAUUUGAAACUGGCAAGCUAGAGUCUUGUAGAGGGGGGUAGAAUUCCAGGUGUAGCGGUGAAAUGCGUAGAGAUCUGGAGGAAUACCGGUGGCGAAGGCGGCCCCCUGGACAAAGACUGACGCUCAGGUGCGAAAGCGUGGGGAGCAAACAGG